UAAAUGGGCUAGCUACAGAGCGUUCAACUUCAGAUAUACAGUGCGCCUUCAUAUCUUCCCUUCUUAGGAAGGGGGCAGUCAGAUUACCGGAUACAGAUUUCUACCCCUAGUGGGUUCACAGACUAACCUUUAAUUCCUGGACCUGGGCUCACACUCAUCGACGGGACACCCCGGUACUCACUGCGCAGAAGCCGAUGAUCUCCUGGACAACAGGCCAGUGGCGCAGAGACGAAAG